AUCUCUAUUACAACGUUAGUAUUACGUUACAUUGUAACGUUAUUCCACAACGUAACAGCAACGUUGCAAAUUAACGUUGUGAUAACGUUAUGCUUUGGACAUUACAACACUUUUUGUAAAUGAUGUUUAGGAAACCACUUGUAGAUCUACCAUAUCGUAGUUUUAUUUAUUUUAAACAUAUAUAUCUAUGAACGAAGUUAUCUGUCUACUAAAUGUUGUCUAAAGCAAAAUUACAGUUAAAAACACAUUGGCGCGCAUUUUUUGCGGCGUGAGAGCGACUGCUGAAAAGUUUAGCCUGUUGCCUCGUGAAGUGACGUCAAAAUGACGUCACAUUGUUGCGGAAGAUUUGUUGUCACCAGCCAUCUUAGUUCAAACUCACUCUGGAUAUAUUACAACCAAGUGAUUGUGCAGCAACGGGAACUGGACAGAUGAUCUGUGAAUUCGGAUAAGCAAGGGGGAAAAUGUUACACGACCAUUCCAGGAGAUAAAAUCAAGAAUGUUGAAUCAUUGAGGAACACACCAAAAAAAACCUGGGCUGUGAAUUAUGUUAACGGAAGUGGAAGUGAACACCAAAGAAAGAAGAUUCUGGCAUUCAAUAAUUUCGAAAAGUGUAUACAUUUUCUAUAAUCUAAAAAUAAUAAAAUGUCAACGCAAA